GGGCCCGUAGUCUAGUGGUUAGUCGUCAAAAAAUUCUUUGGAGACCCACAAAUGACGUCACCCUUACAAGGUGAAGGUCGGCAGUUCGAAUCUGCCCGGGCCCA
rnacentral:tRNA from 1 species